GGGUGCACGCGUUGUAAUACGUUGUAUUAUUGUUACAGUUGCUGUAAUUGAAUGAGAAUGAUUUAAAGACAAUUUGAUAUUUGUUUGUAUGAAAUAUAAUGAUCGAAACUUCCCUUCCGGGCAGCAUUUACAUUUUAUAUUGAUUUCAGUUAUAAUGCAUAUUGCAUGGGAAAAUCAGCCUCGGUUUCGUCGGUAGAGCAGGAUCGCCCGUUUUCUUCAGAAUUGUUUUGUGUUUGUAUAUAUUAUAGUUUUACUGUUGCUGAGCAUGUAAUAGGUGAAACAUCUGUACAGGUAAAUACAAGUACACUGCAAAUUUAUGUAAACAUUGUUUUAUUUUACAGGUUUUUACAAGAGCUCAUUAAAUGGUAUCCUAUACUUGGGUUAUAGUCCACUUUUUCACAUGGUUUACAAGAGCAAUAAACAGCAUCCCAUGCUUGGGUUUUAGUAAACUUUUUCAUGUGAACAACAGCGUAGACAUGGAAAGAGAAUGCAUCCUCAAAAAGCACUGUGUGUAUACUUAAAGGAGGACCAUCUACAGCUGUUCAAGGAGUACAAUAAAACGUGCAAAUACUGAGUUCUCUUUCAAGUCUUGUGCUUCAGAGGCCAAAUUCGUACAAAAAUUAUAUCAACAUGACCGUCUUGGAUUGCGACUGGAUGAAUUCUAAAGAAGCCGUAGAGCAGAUGGUAUUGGGGAUCUACAUCGUCCAAUUCAUAGACACCAACCAGGGGAUAAACCUGUGGACGUUGGUAUCCUGAUUGAAGGGACCGAGGUUCUCUGCUCUUUGAAGAACGUGUAGCAGUGGCCAUGCUGUAUGGACUUACUUACGCCUUGAACCUCAGCUACCCACAAGAACUCAAGGCUACAUUUGAGGUCAUCCAGAAAGUGUUCUUUAUCUUGAAUGGACAAAAACUUUCACUAAAGGUACCAGCCCUUAAGAACAAGAUGUUGGAGUAAGUUACCUUAUGUGUGUAUUCUCAAAAGACUAAAUCUUGACUCAAGAAGGUAUUAGCUGUGUAUAUACAUUGAAAUAUAAUGUUGUUCAUCUUGGAUGAUAUUUUUUUGUAUUUUUUUACCUGAAAAUUUGCCUUGAAAUAAGAAUAAAGAGAAACUUUUGACAUUCACUUUGAGAACAUUUUAUUUGUGCAGUAAAUUACAUUUUGAUAGACAUGUCAACAAUUAAACAUUUGUUUGAUGUAAAUAAAGUUGUACAAUUAAC